rnacentral:rRNA from 1 species
CAGCAGCCGCGGUAAUACGAAGGGGGCUAGCGUUGCUCGGAAUCACUGGGCGUAAAGGGUGCGUAGGCGGGUUUCUAAGUCAGGGGUGAAAUCCUGGAGCUCAACUCCAGAACUGCCCUUGACACUGGAAGUCUUGAGUAUGGGAGAGGUGAGUGGAACUGCGAGUGUAGAGGUGAAAUUCGUAGAUAUUCGCAAGAACACCAGUGGCGAAGGCGGCUCACUGGCCCAUAACUGACGCUGAGGCACGAAAGCGUGGGGAGCAAACAGGAUUAGAUACCCCCGUAGUCCCUGUCUCUUAUAC